AUGCUCGGGUUUCUCUUCAUAUCGUAUAAAUCUUUCGCCUUUUACUAAAGAUUUCCGUGGAGGGGAACAAGUAUGAGUGUAAAGUAAUUUUUUGAGGCUUCACAGGAGUGAAGCU